rnacentral:rRNA from 1 species
UACCCAAAGUGCUCCAUAUAGGAGCUGUGGUAGGUGCGUAAUGUUCCCUACUAGAAAGGAGAGGGCAAGGCUGGUGCCAGCCGCCGCGGUAAAACCAGCUCUUCAAGUGGUCGGGAUAAUUAUUGGGCUUAAAGUGUCCGUAGCUGGUAAGGUAAGUUCCUGGUAAAAUUGGGCAGCUUAACUGUCCUUAUGCUAGGAAUACUGCUUUACUAGAGGGCGGGAGAGGUCUGAGGUACUACAGGGGUAGGAGUGAAAUCUUAUAAUCCUUGUAGGACCACCAGUGGCGAAGGCGUCAGACUGGAACGCGCCUGACGGUGAGGGACGAAAGCCAGGGGAGCGAACCGGAUUAGAUACCCGGGUAGUCCUGGCCGUAAACGAUGCACACUAGAUGAUGGUGCGGCCAUGAGCCGUAUCAGUGUCGUAGGGAAACCGUUAAGUGUGCCGCCUGGGAAGUACGGUCGCAAGGCUUAAACUUAAAGGAAUUGGCGGGGGAGCACCACAAGGGGUGAAGCCUGCGGUUCAAUUGGACUCAACGCCGGGCAACUUACCAGGGGAGACAGCAGAAUGAAGGUCAGGUUGACGACCUUACCUAACAAGCUGAGAGGAGGUGCAUGGCCGUCGCCAGUUCGUGCUGUGAGGUAUCCUGUUAAGUCAGGCAACGAACGAGACCCGUGCCUUUAUUUGCCAUCAAGAAGUCACGACUUCGUUGGGAACGAUAAAGGGACUGCCGUCGAUAAGACGGAGGAAGGAGCGGGCAAAGGCAGGUCAGUAUGCCCCGAAACCCCUGGGCUACACGCGGGCUGCAAUGGUGCGAACAAUGGGCUGUGACUCCGACAGGAGAAACCAAUCCCGAAAUCGCAUCUCAGUUGGGAUUGUCAACUGUAACCCGUUGACAUGAAC